rnacentral:rRNA from 1 species
GACGAACGCUGGCGGCGUGCUUAACACAUGCAAGUCGAACGGUAAGGCUCCAGCUUGCUGGGGUACACGAGUGGCGAACGGGUGAGUAACACGUGGGUGACCUGCCCUGCACUUCGGGAUAAGCCUGGGAAACUGGGUCUAAUACCGGAUAGGACCGCACCGUGAGGGUGUGGUGGAAAGUUUUUUCGGUGUGGGAUGGGCCCGCGGCCUAUCAGCUUGUUGGUGGGGUAAUGGCCUACCAAGGCGGCGACGGGUAGCCGGCCUGAGAGGGUGGACGGCCACAUUGGGACUGAGACACGGCCCAGACUCCUACGGGAGGCAGCAGUGGGGAAUAUUGCACAAUGGGCGGAAGCCUGAUGCAGCGACGCCGCGUGGGGGAUGACAGCCUUCGGGUUGUAAACUCCUUUCACCAUCGACGAAGGGUUUCUGACGGUAGAUGGAGAAGAAGCACCGGCUAACUACGUGCCAGCAGCCGCGGUAAUACGUAGGGUGCGAGCGUUGUCCGGAAUUACUGGGCGUAAAGAGCUCGUAGGUGGUUUGUCGCGUCGUCUGUGAAAUUCCGGGGCUUAACUCCGGGGCGUGCAGGCGAUACGGGCAUAACUUGAGUACUGUAGGGGAGACUGGAAUUCCUGGUGUAGCGGUGAAAUGCGCAGAUAUCAGGAGGAACACCGGUGGCGAAGGCGGGUCUCUGGGCAGUAACUGACGCUGAGGAGCGAAAGCAUGGGGAGCGAACAGGAUUAGAUACCCUGGUAGUCCAUGCCGUAAACGGUGGGCGCUAGGUGUGGGUUUCCUUCCACGGGAUCCGUGCCGUAGCUAACGCGUUAAGCGCCCCGCCUGGGGAGUACGGCCGCAAGGCUAAAACUCAAAGGAAUUGACGGGGGCCCGCACAAGCGGCGGAGCAUGUGGAUUAAUUCGAUGCAACGCGAAGAACCUUACCUGGGCUUGACAUAUACAGGAUCGCGCCAGAGAUGGUGUUUCCCUUGUGGCUUGUAUACAGGUGGUGCAUGGUUGUCGUCAGCUCGUGUCGUGAGAUGUUGGGUUAAGUCCCGCAACGAGCGCAACCCUUGUCUUAUGUUGCCAGCACGUUGUGGUGGGGACUCGUAAGAAACUGCCGGGGUUAACUCGGAGGAAGGUGGGGAUGACGUCAAAUCAUCAUGCCCCUUAUGUCCAGGGCUUCACACAUGCUACAAUGGUCGGUACAGUGGGUUGCCAGUCCGUGAGGGCGAGCUAAUCCCGCAAAGCCGGUCUCAGCUCGGAUCGGGGUCUGCAACUCGACCCCGUGAAGUCGGAGUCGCUAGUAAUCGCAGAUCAGCAACGCUGCGGUGAAUACGUUCCCCGGGGCU